rnacentral:rRNA from 1 species
UACGAAGGGAGCUAGCGUUGUUCGGAAUCACUGGGCGUAAAGCGCACGUAGGCGGAUGUGUCAGUCAGGGGUGAAAUCCCGGAGCUCAACUUCGGAACUGCCUUUGAUACAGCACGUCUUGAGUCCGGAAGAGGUGGGUGGAAUUCCUAGUGUAGAGGUGAAAUUCGUAGAUAUUAGGAAGAACACCGGUGGCGAAGGCGGCCCACUGGUCCGGUACUGACGCUGAGGCGCGAAAGCUAGGGGAGCAAACAGG